AUGAGUAACGAGAAAUCCUGUGAAAAACACGAUCGCCUACCAAUGGAAGGCUUUCUGCGUUCAGUCAAUCUACGCAGAGUGAGUCGGUCCCUAAGGAACCGCCGAAAGGACUGCCGUCCGAUGGGUACACGAAAGUGACGAAGUUGCUUUGACUACUGAACCAUGCCUGGAUCAUCGGAGCGAGUUGGACGAUCGGACCGAGGGCUGCCCCCUCUUCCCCUCUCUCUCCUUUCCUUAAUAUUCACCGUCGAGUCAGCAAAGCCGUCAACUAAUUCAGAGGGGCUCGGAUGGCCCGGUCACCCUACGCUACUGGUGCUUCCAAAGGCGAAGCUCUCGUCUUUGGCGACCAACAAAUGGAUGGCUAAAACCUGUAGUUUUGAAGCAAGGGAUGAGAGGGAAAUCCGUUGCGCUUCCGUACACGCGCAUAUGUUUUCUUGCUGGGGCAGACACGGAUUUCUCUCUAAAGGCAAAGAAAAAGAAGUGGGCGAACACUCGGCCCAGCGGGCGAACAUGCCGGCUUGGGCUCCGCGCACCUGCUGACACCUUUCGAAGCUCUUUCACGUGUGAACCGAAGUCGUCUUGCCGAACUCCUUCCUUUCUCAUUUCAGUCCUCGCAUUUUUCAUCUUCCGUAGGGGCCUUUAGUAUUUUGAUUAGAGUGGAGGUCGCGAGAGAGUAGAGCGUACAGCCCUGCCAUAGUUGCGAGGAUCUUAAUAGUCGGUCGCCACUGUUUUUAUAGUCAACGAUAGUUGGAACUUUCAAGAAAAACUUCAAAUUGGGAGGGCGAUCCUCCCAGUGAACUGACCAUACCCCAAACCGAUACAGGUGAACAAGUAGAGUAUACUAGGUCACGUCGACAGAACCAUGUUGAAGGAACUCAGCAAAAUGACCCCGUAACUUCGGGAGAAGGGGUGCUCUCCUAUCUUUUGAUUAGGAAAGCGGCACAUACUAGGGGGUAGCAACUUUUUAUUAAAAACAGAGGACUCUGCUAAGUGGUAACAUGAUGUAUAGAGUCUGACACCUGCCCGGUGCUAGAAGGUCAGAAGGAGAAGUGUGAUAAGCUUUGAAUGGAGCCUCGGUAAACGGCGGCAGUAACUCUAACUGUCCUAAGGUAGCGAAACUCCUUGUCGCAUAAGUAGCACCCUGCACGAAUGGUGUAACGACUGCCCUACUAUCUCUGACAUGGACCCGGUGAAAUU
rnacentral:ncRNA from 1 species